CGUACACCUGCGGCCGACUUCAGCACAGUCGACGUCACUUUUGUCGUGUCGUGACAACAAACCCGGUUUCUCUGUGGCAGGGGGUGAAUAACAAAUACAAAUUAACAGAGCCAUCUCUGCGAGGGUUGGAAGGCUGCCGCGCGGAAAUACACGAAGCCCCCCGACUCGAGCCGAAUGCAAAUAUCACGCAGGGACGCACUUGGAAUAUUUAAGGGUUACUAAAUCCAGGAACAAUGACGUUAAAUAAAGU